rnacentral:lncRNA from 1 species
GAUCUCAUCACCGACACCACCGUGGUGAGCCUCUUGUUCUUAUCUUCUUUCUGAAAGGAAAAAUAUUCUUACUUGUAUGUUUAGAUAGAUACUUGUAUCAUUUUCUUACAUUUAUUAUUGCAUCUUAUAUAGUGCGAUGGUUUUGGUAUGCGCCCCCGUCGGCCCUCGUCCUGUCUAUGAUUCGGAUGUGGUAUGUAUAUUAUCUUUAUAACUAUUGGUUCAUUUAUUGUUUAUGAAAAUUAUGCCGACCAACGUGACAUAAAUUUUACUUAUCUAGGAUGUAUGUGAAUCGGAAAUGCCAACCGACCCUAUUGUUGAGAGGUUAAAUUUAGUUGAAGAAGAAAACAAUUUUUUGAAGGAAAAAAUAAAAAAAUUGAGGAGGAGAAGAUGAUAUUGGAGUUGCAUGUUGCGGAUGUCGUCGGUGAUCACAAGAUCAAGAUGGAUGCAAUGCGCUUGAAGAUUAGAAAGAUUAGAAAAUAUGCCAUUCAUACCGAGGCUUGGUAUCAUUAUGCCAUUGGAUCAAUUGUUACCUUGGUUGCGAUUAUGAUCGCAUUUGUUUCCGCAUUGAAAUGUUUUACAUAGUUUCAAUGUAUGGUUUAAUUAAUUAGAUGCUCUGGAGAGCUAUAUGUUGUUAGAUGAGAACUAUGUAUGCACUUUGGUUUUAAUGUGAUGAUGAACUUCUAUUAAUUUGGACACUUAAUUAUAUAUAAUGCACGCAGAUGAACCGGCAAUGGAUGUACGGUGACAGACACACCCGCGAGUACAUUAAGGGCGUGCAUGAGUUUCUCGAUGCGGCUGAGGCAAACAAGCAGAAUGGUUUUAUGUGUUGUCCAUGCACUGAAUGUGGGAAUACGAGGUCUUACUCUAAUCGGAAAAUCUUUCACUCCCACCUGCUUUACAAGGGUUUCAUGCCACACUAUAAUGUUUGGACGAGGCACGGAGAAAUAGGGGUUAUGAUGGAAGACGGCGAAGAAGAAGACUACGAUGACAACUAUGUGCCCCCUGAAUACGAUGAUGCUGCAACGGGGGGAGCUGGUGAAGAUCAAGAGGAACUAGACGAUGUGCCCAAUGAUGCUGCAACAGGUGAAGCUGCUGAAGAUCAAGAGGAACCAGACGAUGUGCCCGAUGAUGAUGAUCUCCGCCGGGUCAUUGUCGAUGCAAGGACGCAAUGCAUUAGUCAAAAGGAGAAGCUGAAGUUCGAUCGCAUGUUAGAGGAUCACAGAAAAGGGUUAUACCCCAAUUGCGAAGAUGGCAACACAAAGCUCGGUACUGUACUGGAAUUGCUGCAGUGGAAGGCAGAGAAUGCUGUGGCUGACAAAGGAUUUGAGAAGCUACUGAAAAUAUUGAAGAAGAAGCUUCCAAAGGAUAACGAAUUGCCCGACAGUACAUACGCAGCAAAGAAGGUCGUAUGCCCUCUAGGAUUGGAGGUGGAGAAGAUACAUGCAUGCCCUAAUGACUGCAUCCUCUACCGCGGUGCAUACAAGGAUCUGAACGUAUGCCCGGUAUGCGGUGCAUUGCGGUAUAAGAUCAGACGAGAUGACCCUGGUGAUGUUGACGGCGAGCCCCCCACGAAGAGGGUUCCUGCAAAGGUGAUGUGGUAUGCUCCUAUAAUACCACGGUUGAAAUGUCUGUUCAAAAACGAAGAGCAUGCCAAGUUGAUGCGAUGGCACAGUGAGAACCGAAAGAAAGAUGGGAAGUUGAGAGCACCCGCUGACGGGUCGCAGUGGAGAAAAAUCGAGAGAAAGUACUGGGAUGAGUUUGCAAAGGACCCAAGGAAUGUAUGGUUUGCUUUAAGCGCGGAUGACAUUAAUCCUUUCCGGGAGCAGAGCAGCAAUCACAGCACCUGGCCCGUGACUCUAUGUAUGUAUAACCUUCCUCCUUGGAUGUGCAUGAAGCGGAAGUUCAUUAUGAUGCCAGUUCUCAUCCAAGGCCCUAAGCAACCCGGCAACGAAAUUGAUGUGUACCUAAGGCCAUUAGUUGAAGAACUUUUACAGCUGUGGAAUGAAAACGGUGUACGUACGUGGGAUGAGCACAGACAGGAGGAAUUUAACCUUAAGGCGUUGCUGUUCGUGACCAUCAACGAUUGGCCCGCUCUCAGUAACCUUUCAGGACAGACAAACAAAGGAUACCACGCAUGCACGCACUGUUUAGAUGACACUGAAAGUAUAUACCUGGACAAAUGCAGGAAGAAUGUGUACCUGGGCCAUCGUCGAUUUCUUCUGACCAACCAUCAAUGUCGAAAGAAAGGCAAGCAUUUCAAAGGCGGGGCAGAUCACCGGAAGAAGCCCGCCAUGUGCACCGGUGAUCACGUGCUUGCUAUGGUGAAUGAUUUACACUACGUAAUCUUUGGAAAGGGUCCCGGUGGACUAGCUGUUCCGAAUGACGCUGAGGGACACGCACCCAUGUGGAAGAAGAAAUCUAUAUUUUGGGACCUACCCUACUGGAAAGACCUAGAGGUCCGCUCCUCAAUCGACGUGAUGCACGUGACGAAGAACCUUUGCGUGAACCUGCUAGGCUUCUUGGGCGUGUAUGGGAAGACAAAAGAUACACCUGAGGCACGGGAGGACCUGCAACGUUUGCACGAAAAAGACGGCAUGCCUCCGAAGCAGUAUAAAGGUCCUGCUAGCUACGCUCUUACGAAAGAAGAGAAAGAAACCUUCUUUGAAUGCCUGCUCAGUAUGAAGGUCAUGACUGGCUUCUCGUCGAAUAUAAGGGGAAUAAUAAAUAUGCCAGAGAAAAAGUUUCAGAACCUAAAGUCUCAUGACUGCCACGUGAUUAUGACGCAACUGCUUCCGGUUGCAUUGAGGGGGCUUCUACCGGAAAACAUCCGAUUAGCCAUUGUGAAGCUAUGUGCAUUCCUCAAUGCAAUCUCUCAGAAGGUGAUCGAUCCAGAAACCGUACCAAGGCUAAGGAGUGAUGUGGCGCAAUGUCUUGUCAGUUUCGAGCUGGUGUUCCCACCAUCCUUCUUCAAUAUCAUGAUGCACGUCCUAGUUCACAAUAUACACUAAUAUUAUCCGCUACACGAACUAUGCGCUAAAAUGCCUCCUAAAUUAAAUUAACACUGAAAUUCACAACGAACACUAAUAUUAUCCGCUACACGAACUAUGUGCUAAUAUUUACAUAAUAUUUGUGACGACGUGAUUAUACCUUCGAAGUGUGUGUCCGCUUCUUGCUUCUCUCUUUGACUCAGCGGCACCGGCCACCUCGCGAAGUACUUGCACCACCGGAGAACGACAACGCCGCCCCCGACGACCGGAGGUUCAACUCCGGUCAGCCCCCAACCUGCUCCUCCUCCUCAACACCUCCUCCUCUGCAGCUGCUGCUACUAGUCACCACCACCUACUACCCGUCCUCCUCUCCACCAUGGCUCCUCCUCCCCACCAUGGCUGCUCCUCUACACAUCAAAAACUAUCCCAUAGCAAAAAAUAACACCGUAGGCCGGUGGAGAUUGCUAUGAUCUACCGAUUCUGUGGGUUGGAUUUGCAAAUGUGUGGCAAAUGGAGGAGAUCGGCGCGGGGGGGAGUUCUACAGAGAAGAACUGAGAGAGAGAGAGAGAGAGAAAGGGAAACGAAGAACAGCAGCGCAGGGGCGAACGGUGCUUAUCCGCACCUUUUCGGCCUACACCUGGCCGAAAACCUUUUCGGUCGAAGCCUGGCUGAAAAGGCCAGCUUCGGUCACCGGUGGGCCGAAAACGGCCCAGUUCGGCCUCCUGGCACCCGAAGCUACUAUUUUCGGCCGGGCCCCCGCCAACAACAAGUUUUCGGCCCAACCGCGGCCGAAAAGCCUACUUCGGCCACACCGUGGCCGAAAACUGCCUUUUCGGCCCACUCCUGGCCGACGGGCUACUAGUUUUGCGUUUUUUUCAUUCUACGCUAUAGUUUCAGAAAUUGCUACAAAAAAUAACAUAGUUUUGAAAAAAAUUCCACGGGAGCUCGUAGGCGACGUUAGUGCGGCCGGGAAGCAGCGAUGGUGACGAAUUUAAUGCCGCGGCCGGCGAAGGGAGACAAAAAGACGAUGGAGAAAAUGGGAAAAUUUCACCUAAAACCAUUCUUCGGCGCAAAUAGGCACGCAACUCAAAUGAUGGUCCAGCCCAUAUCAAGAGGCCAAAUCUUCGGCGCCUUAAGCCGAAUAUAAGGCAUUUGAUACAGGGCACACACACACCCUCUCUGUACACUUGGUAUUAUAGCUGGGCCGGUCAAUUCUGUUCUUUUUCUGUUUGUAACGCAAAAAAUAAGGCGCGCGCUGGGAUUUCAACCAGGGACCUCCUAGUUGAUACUCGCUGCACUAACCACCCUACUGAGUCCAGAGUUAAACUUGUGUGCACAAUAGAAACUUCUUCUCUCUUCUUCUUCUGAUGUCUUUUUACUUUUUCUAUUACUUUUUCCGUUUUUCUUUUUUAUUCGCAACCUUUUUAUUGGUUUUUAUUCCUUUUUCUUUUUUCUUAAUGCUAAUUGAAUGAACCUUUUGUUUCAAAUUGUUGAACUUUUUUAAAAAUUGAUGAACUUUUUUCAAAUUGAAUGAAUUUGUUCAAAAUUGAAUGAACUUUUUUCAAAAUCGAUAAAAAAAUUAAAUUCCACGAAAAAAAUUCAAAUUUGAUGUGCUCUUUUCUCAAAGUCAAUGAACAUUUUUCAAUCAAAUGUACUUUUUUCAAAAAGGUGAAAUUUUAUCAAAUUCGAUUAAAAAAAAUUAAUCAAUGAACCUUUUUCAAAUGUGAUGAACUUUUUUUCAAAUCGAUGAUUUUUUUUAAAAUCAGCGAACUUUUUUCAAAUCAUAUGAAUUUUUAAAUCCGUGAAGUUUUUACAAAUUUGAUGAACUUUUAUCAAAUAGAUGAUUUUUAAAGAGAUGACCUUUUUUAAUAGAGAUGGUCAACAUGGUCAACUAAACUGAUCAACAUAGUCAACUGAAUCUAUCAACCGAGUUUUUUUUGUCGAGCGAUGAAACAAAGCGAUCGAAGGGAGGCAUCGAUCGAGCGCCUUGUGAGUGCCACUAGGCAAAAAUGGUGCAUAUGGCGCCAACGAGGAGGACUCUGUCACGAGUGCGCGCAUUAUUCCUUUGUGUAUGUUUUUCUGUGUGGUUUCUUUUAUUUCUGUUCUCCGUUUGUGGUCUUUUCUCUUUAGUUUUUUAUCACGUAUAAUUUUUCUUCUGAUUUAUUUUCGUUUUUUCCAUUUUAAAUUUACUUUUAUUUCUAGUUUGAUUUUUCAUAACCAAAAAAACAUCAUAAAAUAAUAAGAAUUUCAAAAAUUAAUCUAAACUUAUGAUUGAUUCACUUUUUCAAAACAAAAUCCGUAUUCCAAAAAAUCAUAAUUGAAAAACAACCAUGUUUUUCAAAAAUUGUUCAAUUCUAAAAAAAUUCUAAAUUUAAAACUUUCUUCUUACAAUGUAUUUUCGUAAUUUUGAAAGUUUUUUCUACAUUGUCAACAAAUUUCAAAAAAAAUGAACAAAUUAUGGAAAACCCGAACCAAAAUUAGUAAUUCCAAACAAAAUCAGAAUUCCAAAAAAAAUCAAGUUUCUAAAAAAAUUCAUCUAUUUUCAUAAUUUAAAUACAAUCAUUUUUCCAAAAAAUGUUCAAUUGUUAUAAAAUUGAAAUUUGUUCUUACAAUGUCUUUUCGUAAUUUUGAAUGUUUUUUCUACAAUGUCAACAAAUUUCAAAAAAAGGGAAAAAAUGGAAAACCUGAACCAAAUUUGUAAUUCCAAACAAUUUAUACUAUUUGCCGUCUCAUAUAUAUCACCACUAAGUGCUAGUUGAUUACAUGCAUCCACUCAAGAAUAUUCUAAAAAAUAUUCUUGUAUUAUCUUUAAAAAUACACGUCAAUUGAUUGAUUCAAGAAUUCACCAACUGAAGUAAGGGGCAAAGUCGGCGCUCAUCCGUAUCUUAUGACUUGUGGUUUGAAUUAAUACAAAUGACUUCCUCGCUGCAAUCUACUGAAAUGUUCAUUGUCUAGUCCAUGUCAUCACGUGAUCAGCUGAUCUAAGGCUAUAGUAGCCAGAAAUUGUUUUUCCGCAAAAAAGAUAGUAUCCAGAAUUUGUUUAUCCUUUUUUGUAGACAACAGAAUUUGUUUAUCCUUUUUUGUAGACAACAGAAAUUGUUUAUCUUCGGCAACAAUCUAGAUGAGCUGCCUAUUUUCGGCUUCAGGAUCCUUCGAGUAAUUGGGGAUCUAAGAAAUCUAUGGUAUCAAUGAGUUCAUCUCUCCAUUCGGAAUAGCUAGCCAUGGCUCAUCGUCUGGGAAGCUUCGGCUACGUCAUCUGGGAAGACCAGCGCGUAAGAUAUAGCCAUGGCUCAUCUUCGGCUACUUCAUCUGUGUACUAACUGCUCGGUCGACUCCCAUCUGACAAAGCUGAAGCACUCCAUAAGGUCACGUCGGCAGGUCGGGCAGGUGGAUGCACGGUGGAACCACGUCCCGAUGCAUCCAGUGUGGAAGGCACGGGAGCACGGUAGCGCGACGGCCUCCUCGUCCCUGCUAUCCACGUCCGGCAAGCAGAUGGCGCACGGCUUGCUAGACUCACGGCGGCGCUUUCGGCCGGGCGCCAGAGCUCCGGCUGCCUCGGUCUUUGCGGUGGCCUCUUUGCACGCCAGGAGCAACGCCUUGGGCUCGCUCUAGAGCACGGUCACUUUAUUAAUUAUUCAUAAAACACCUUACAAAGUAAUACAACAGUAAGACUGAAGCCAUCGUUUAGGUAACAUCUGUCGCUACUCCUAUUCAGUUGAUGAAGGAUACUCAUAGUCUGAGCCUAAUACUAAAUAGACCUCUCACCAAAACCUAACAUCUAAGACUUGAGGCACCAACCAAGCCACCUGCCGGGUAUGGGGCACCCACCGGUCCGACGCACACUCAGAGGCCACCGCCACCAACUAUCAUCAAUCCAUCUUCAGAGUUGUACUGACGCAUCCACCUUGCCUGACUAGUCUAGCUGCCGUCAACGCCACCACGAUGCCAAACAACGCCGCUAUCCUGCUAAAAUUUGGUGGCGUUGUUCCUUUGGUAAAGAGGCAUCAACUCCUAAGACUGAACCCCUAAAAAAUCGACCAAACAAUGCACAAUAAAUAAAGAGGACUUAACUGGUGUGUUUUUUGCUGAAGUCCUAAAAAACUCACAUGGUGCAUAAUAAGGUGAUUUUUUAAAUUGCUUAGUCGUAAUCCAACCGCAAGGUGUGAUCUUCUUUCUUCCAGCACCCUCCUCAUUUUCUUCCUCGCGAGCACCCUACUCCCAUUCUUGCCUCACCUUCUGCGUGUAAUACGAUGCAUUGGUUGUCCAUGGUCAUUAAUUCUGCCAACAUGGCGUUGGGUGGGUCCCACUUGUGAGCGAAUAGUUUAAUGAGUAGUAUAGUUGCUUGCGUAGCAUUAGGUGGGUCCCACCUAUUUUUUAGGGGAAAACGUCGUCACUUUAUUCAAAGUUCAUAGCUCCUUCGGUAGCAAUCUCCGAGCUAACACACUCAGGAGAUAGUUGGAGCCAAGUUUUACAUAGAGAUCUAAUACAACCUUCCCUAGCUAAGACAUGGUCCUACCUAUUUGACAAGAGUGCAAAUCAUAUUGGAAGGAAAUAACUGCGCACGGGGUUUCGAACCAAUGACCUGGUGGUAAGCCACGAUUGCACGUAACAAACCCGCCUCCUUUUAUAUUAUAUAGACAAAAAAAUUACGCAUACGUGUUGCACAUGAUUUUUCGUAAAGCAUAAACAUUUCGUUUCCUACAAGUACAUAAACAUUUUCGUAAAGCAUGAAAACAUUUAUAUAGUAAAUGAAUAUUUAGUUUAAAAUAUGAACAUUUAUUUAAAUAUAUAAAAAAAUUAUAUUAAUAUUUCUAAAAUACUAUGAACAUUCAUUAAAUAUGCUCCACAUUUCAAUAUUGUAUAAACAUAUUUCUAAUUUAUAAAUAUUAUUUAAUUAUAUGAAUAUUUUUAGGAAUUAUAUGAACAAGUUUUUUUAAAAAUAUUUAUUUAUUUGUGUGUGUGUGUGUGUGUGUGUGUUAUUUAUAACACACCAAUAUGAAAUUACAAAUUUGCCAAAAAAACUAAAUGGAAAAAACGGAUCAUACUGAGUGCAGCCCAUUUAUGCCCUAUUAUGCCAGUGCUUGGCUCAUGGACUAGCUAUUAGUCCCGUUAGGCGUACAAGAGGCGAACUAGCUAUGGCACGUGGCCCAUGUGGUUGGCACCAAUGUGAAAGUUUUUGAUUUUUUUUUUGGAUAUUACUUUUUGGAAGAUGGUAGUGAGAUUUUCCCCUUUGUCUUUUUGAGAAUUUUUUACAAGCUUUUUCUUUUUUAGAUGGAUGUCAUGUUCAUGUGAUACAAGAAAGUUUUUCCAUAUGGACAUGAAGGUCAGGUUUUUUUCUUUAAGAUGGAGAAACGCGUACAUAGCUUUCGAUCAAGUGGCCCGUAAUAGCAGGCCCUAACCACUAGUAGACGUCAAAGGGUGUGGGCUAGAGUUGUUACUCCUGGGUAGGGGUGGAAAUUGGUAGCGGAUAAUUCAAAACAUCCGAUAUUCGUAUUCGAGAAAAUGCCUAUUCGUAUCCGAAACAUCCGCGUCCGGACCAAAAUGGAAAUGGAAAUUAUCCGUAUCCGAAAUUAUUAAACAAAUAAAAAAUAAAAUAUGGUAGGAGAUUUUGAGACAAAUAUGGAUAUGGAAGUGGAUAUAUCCGUAUCCGAAUAAAAUUAUGGGAGGUAAUUUUCAAAAUUCUAUACCCAAUAUUCCAAUUAUCCAACAUAAAAGCCAAAUAAGUGGUCAAAUUUUACUAUUUAUAUGAUUAAACUUAUAAAUUAUUAUGCAUUACAAUAGUAUUUAUUCAUAAACCUAUUUAUCAUUGACUUAUUGUAUGUCACAAGUUGAUUAUUUCAGAUCACAUAGGUAUCGACUAAUUUACUUAAGCAAUAUGUUGAUAUUAUUCGUAUCCGUUCCGAAUCAAGAAAAUAUCCGAUACGUAUCCGUAUUCGAAUAAUAUCCGAGCCGCAUCCGUAUCCGAUAACAUCCGUAUUCGGAUUCGUAUUCGUUUUGAAAAUAUGAAAAUGGAAGUGGCAAGAGCACUAUCCGAUCCGUUUCCACCCCUACUCCUGGGGUAGGUAGGCUUGAGGUUGCUCAUUCCAACCCCAAAGGACGUGACAUGAUUCUUCAUUUCGAUUUUCUCUUUGUACCAUUCACUGAUAGGUGGGACCCAACGAUCGUAAAGACACAUAUUAUGUAAGCCGUUGCAAGUGUACCUGGCGCCUUGUUGGCACGCUCACACGCAUGCGAACAGAAAUACAAUGCUAUGGGAGCGCAAUUAAAGUUUGAAUGAUGAAGGCAUUAUUGCACACGAAAGUUAAGUCCAUGCGCCACUUUUUUGUAUACCACAACUGUAGACACCAAAAUGAUCAUACAUGCCAAUUUGAAACACCAGUAGUGCAUUAAUUCUUGUUAUUUCUUUUCUAGAUGAGAAUUAAAGUGAAUGACGAUAUAGGUCAUUACUUCCAGACACAUAAAGGCCUCAGACAAGGAGAUUCGAUGUCCCCUAUCUUGUUUAACAUUGUGGUGGAUAUGUUAGCAAUUUUGAUAGGACGGGCUAAGGAGAAUGGUCAAGUGGGUGGUUUGGUACCCCAUCUUCUUGAUGGAGGUGUAUCCGUCCUUCAAUACGCUGAUGAUACAAUCAUCUUUAUGGAGCAUGAUUUGGCCAAGGCGAGAAAUAUGAAGCUGUUGUUAUGCCUAUUUGAACAAUUGACCGGGUUAAAGAUUAACUUUCAUAAGAGUGAGUUGUUCUGCUUUGGUAGAGCCAAAGACGAACAAGAGUCUUAUAGGCAAUUGUUUGGGUGCAAGUUUGGGAGUUUACCUUUCUCAUACCUUGGUAUUCCGAUACACCAUCGUAGGCUGACAAACAGAGAAUGGAAGUGCAUCGAAGAUCGAUUUGAGAAGAAACUGAGCUGCUGGAAGGGUAAGCUCAUGUCUUACGGAGGCCGUUUGAUCUUGAUUAAUUCGGUGCUCACGAGUAUGCCUAUGUUCCUCUUAUCGUUCUUUGAGGUCCCAGUUGGUGUUAGGAAAAGACUGGACUUCUAUCGGUCACGUUUCUUUUGGCAGGGUGAUGAACUUAAAAGAAAAUACCGGCUUGCUAAAUGGGACAUCAUCUGUAGACCGAAAUACCAAGGGGGUCUUGGUAUUGAAAAUCUUGAAGUUAAGAACAGAUGCCUUCUUAGUAAGUGGUUGUGGAAGCUUUCCUCCGAGACUGAGGCCAUGUGGGCGCAGAUCCUUCGCAGCAAGUACCUCCAGACUAAAACAUUGUCCCAAGUUACAGUCAGGCCGACUGAUUCGCCUUUCUGGAAAGGACUAAUGAAAGCCAAACAAUCAAUGUUCAAUAGGACAAGGUUUGUUAUUGGAAACAGUGCAAGUACACGUUUCUGGGAGGAUACUUGGCUUGGCGACUCACCUUUAGCCAUUCAAUGUUCAUCUUUAUAUCGGAUUGCUCAACAACGUGACGUGUUCGUGGCAACGGUAUUUCAAUCUAUCCCCCUUAAUAUUCAGUUUAGACGGUCCUUAGCAGGCAAUCGUUGGAAAGAAUGGCUCCAUCUAGUUAGGAGACUAAUGGAGGUUCAACUUUCUCACCAACCCGAUGGAUUACGCUGGAAGUUGACUAGAUCUAGAGUAUUUACAGUUAAAUCAAUGUAUCUUGAUAUUAUUAAUUCGAACUCCAUUCCAACUUCCAAGUUUGUCUGGGCUGUCAAAGUCCCUUUAAAAAUUAAAGUGUUUAUGUGGUUUGUCCAUAAACAAGUUAUUUUAACAAAGGACAACUUGAUAAAGCGUAAUUGGACAGGACCUACGAGGUGUAGUUUCUGUGAUCGGGAUGAGACGAUUAAGCAUCUAUUCUUUGAUUGCCCAUUGGCCAAAGUUAUUUGGCGGAUGGUCCAUAUUGCUUUUAAUAUUACUCCACCGAAUUCUGUUAACACACUAUUUGGGACAUGGCUUAAUGGGGUUGAGCCUGACGUAGCAAGACAUAUUCGGGUUGGAGUUUGCGCUUUGUUGUGGACUAUCUGGAAUUGCAGAAAUGAUUUGAUUUUUAACAAAACAUCACGGAUUCAUUUUUUGCAGGUUAUUUUCCGAGCUACAACAUUGAUCCGUUCGUGGUCGCUACUCACUCCGAUGGAGGCCAGGGAGCAUUUGGUUACUGGAUCUAUCCAUUGGGAGAUGGUAGCUCGGGAUAUAUUCAACCGGUUUGGAUGGCGGUCAUGUAAUAAGAUAGGCAAAUAGUUUAUCUAUCUAUGUUUAGCCAGCCGGUUGUGGUGUCUUAUUCUGGCUAGUUUGUGUAUCUAGCCUUUUAGGCUCUGUGUGAGCUGCCUUUUUCUUUUUUUCUGUUGGAGACUUUGGAACCUUGUUGGUCCUUUUAUUUAUUUAGUUAAUAAGAUGGCCGUAUGCAUCACUCUGAUGCAGAGGCCGAGGAGCCCCCCCUUUUCGAAAGAAAAAAAGAAAAAAAAGAUGAGAAUUAACAAAUUUGUUUAUUUUAACAAGAAUUUGUUCAGCAAUAUGUAAUGUACAAGAUACAAAAUUGAUGACACGUACCAAUUUUUUUCAUCUUUACCAGUUUUGCAUCAGACAAUCCACAUAUAGUUACAGUAAGAGUUUGUUUAGGGCAAAUCUAGAUAUGCCUUUGUUUUUCUUUUUGAAAUGUAGAUGUGCCUUUGUUAUUACACAUUUAAGUGACUCAAUCAAACUAGAUCACUAGUAGAAAACAGGGCUUUGGUCCAGGCCGGGUCAGCCCAUUAGUCACGGUUCAGUCUAGAACCGGGACCAAUGUGGGCAUUGGUCCCGGUUCGUGAGCCCAGGGGGCCGACCGGGCCACGUGGGACAUUGGUCCCGGUUCAUCUGGACCUUUUGGUCCCGGUUGGUGGCAUAAGCCGGGAUCAAUGGGCCUCGCUCCUGGUCCACCACCAUUGGUCCCGGUUGGUGGCUUGAACUGGGACCAAAGGCUCCCCUUUAGUCCCGGCUCAUGUCACCAACCGGGACCAAUGAGGUGCCUAUAUAUACCCCCUCACGCAAGAGCAGAGCACAGUGCUCUGUUUUUUCUGGCCGAGGGGGAGAGGGCUUUGUGGUGCUCUAGCUCACCUCCUAUGCACAUGAGGUGUUCGAUGAAAUGCCCGAACCACACUACUUAAGCUUUCUCCUUUCGAAGCUCGACCUCCAAGCUCCAUUUUCCUCGAGAUUUGUCUAUAUUUAGCGGUCCGUCACACCCCGUCCCCGUCUUCACCGCCGUUGAUCACCCGCGCCAAUCUCAUCACCGACACCACCGUGGUGAGCCUCUUGUUCUUAUCUUCUUUCUGAAAGGAAAAAUAUUCUUACUUGUAUGUUUAGAUAGAUACUUGUAUCAUUUUUUUACAUUUAUUAUUGCAUCUUAUAUAGUGCGAUGGUUUUGGUAUGCGCCCCGUCGGCCCUCGUCCUGUCUAUGAUUCGGAUGUGGUAUGUAUAUUAUCUUUAUAACUAUUGGUUCAUUUAUUGUUUAUGAAAAUUAUGCCGACCAACGUGACAUAAAUUUUAUUUAUCUAGGAUGUAUGUGAAUCGGAAAUGCCAACCGACCCUAUUGUCGAGAGGUUAAAUUUAGUUGAAGAAGAAAACAAUUUUUUGAAGGAAAAAAUAAAAAAA